rnacentral:ncRNA from 1 species
AAUAAAUUUUUUAUGGUUUAAAAAUUUUAUUUUAAGUUUAUUUUACAUAUAAAUUUUAGUGUUAAAUAUUAAUUAUUUAAAUAAUAUUUAAUUUUUAUGUAGUAAUUAGUUUUAAAAAUUUAAGAAAUUAAGAUUUAGUAAUAUUUAAAUUAAUAACUAAUUUUGUGCCAGCAGUUGCGGUUAUACAAAAGUUAAUUUAAAAUUUUUUAGUUGUUAAUAAUUAAUUAAUUAAAUAAUUUAAAUUUAAUAUUAUUAAGUGAAAUUUUAAUUUUAUAAAAAAUUAUUAUAUAUUUAUGAAUUAAUAAAUUUUAUUAAAAACUAGGAUUAGAUACCCUAUUAUUAAAAAUUUAAAUUUAAUAAUACUAAAAUAGUAAGUUAUUAUAUUGAAACUUAAAUAAUUUGGCGGUAUUUUAGUUUAUUUAGAGGAAUCUGUUUAAUAAUUGAUAAUCCACGAAUAAAUUUACUUAAUUUAAAAUUUUGUAUAUCGUUGUUAAAAAAAUAUUUUAAAAUAAAAAUAAUAUUUGAAAAUUUAAAUUAAAAAUUAAAUCAGAUCAAGAUGCAGAUUAUAAUUAAGAAUAUAAUGGAUUACAAUAAAUUUAUUUAAAUUGGAUUUUAAUAUGAAAAGAUUAAAUGAAAUUGGAUUUAAAUGUAAUUUUAUUUAAAUUAAUAAAAUGAUUAUUAAUUAAAAUAUGUACAUAUUGCCCGUCGCUUUCAUUUAUAAAUUGGAAUAAGUCGUAACAAAGUAGAGGUACUGGAAAGUGUUUCUAGAAAGAU